rnacentral:rRNA from 1 species
UACGUAGGGGGCAAGCGUUGUCCGGAAUCAUUGGGCGUAAAGCGCGUGUAGGCGGCCAGGUAAGUCCGUUCUGAAAGCCCGGGGCUCAACCCCGGGAGGCGGAUGGAUACUGCUUGGCUCGAGUCCGGAAGAGGCGAGUGGAAUUCCCGGUGUAGCGGUGAAAUGCGCAGAUAUCGGGAGGAACACCAAUGGCGAAGGCAGCUCGCUGGGACGGUACUGACGCUGAGGCGCGAAAGCCAGGGGAGCGAACGGG